GAUUAAGAACGUAGCGAAAUGCGAUAAGUAAUGUGAAUUGCAGAAUUCAGUGAAUCAUCGAAUCUUUGAACGCACCUUGCGCUCCUUGGUAUUCCGAGGAGCAUGCCUGUUUGAGUGUCAUUAAUAUAUCAACCUUCUCUUUUUUGAGUUGUUUGGAUGUGGGGGUUUGCUGGCCUCUUAAAUGAUUCAGCUCCCCUGAAAUGCAUUAGCAGAACAACCUGUUCAUUAGCGUGAUAAUUAUCUAUGCUAUUGAAUGUGAGGGCAGUUCAGCUUUCUAACCGUCCUUGGACAAUUCAUCAUUAAUGUGACCUCAAAUCAGGUAGGACUACCCGCUGAACUUAAGCAUAUCAAUAAGCGGAGGA
rnacentral:misc_RNA from 1 species